rnacentral:rRNA from 1 species
GGGCCCGCACAAGCGGUGGAGCAUGUGGUUCAAUUCGAAGCAACGCGCAGAACCUUACCAGCCCUUGACAUGUCCCGUAUGGGUUUCAGAAAUGAGACCCUUCAGUUCGGCUGGCGGGAACACAGGUGCUGCAUGGCUGUCGUCAGCUCGUGUCGUGAGAUGUUGGGUUAAGUCCCGCAACGAGCGCAACCCUCGCCCUUAGUUGCCAUCAUUCAGUUGGGCACUCUAAGGGGACUGCCGGUGAUAAGCCGCGAGGAAGGUGGGGAUGACGUCAAGUCCUCAUGGCCCUUACGGGCUGGGCUACACACGUGCUACAAUGGCGGUGACAAUGGGAUGCAAUGGGGCAACCCUGCGCAAAUCUCCAAAAGCCGUCUCAGUUCGGAUUGGGGUCUGCAACUCGACCCCAUGAAGUCGGAAUCGCUAGUAAUCGUAGAUCAGCACGCUACGGUGAAUACGUUCCCGGGCCUU